CCCCCGGGGCCCCUGCCAUCCCCGUGUGACAGACAACGACACCAACGCUCUGGGACGGGACAUCCGCACCGCUCAUUGUCCUGAGCCAGCGCCGGCUGCCGCUGCCAUCACACAGGAUAUGGUUCCCAGGCAGCACACCGACUGCCUUCCAGGAGGCUCUCCCCUUCACGGUGUGCCAGGCGCUCUUGGGGCUCCACUGGCCCCUGCAAGCUUUAGAGGGCUUGCCCAGAGCCCUCCACCCUUCAGAAACCCCUCCUGAUCCUAAGGACUCCAGAGACCACCCAGCCACCUCCUGCAGAGCCAGAAACCCUGGGGAUCUAUGUCCCUGCUGGGGAUACGGGCUCUGGACGGCAGAAGCUGUCCCCAGCGCACACCUGGAGCUGGAUCUGCGGUGGAUGACAGAUUCCAGAGAGCGGGGGCAAAGGGAGAAAGAAGACACCCUUACCCUUCUUCUCAGCACCUUGGAAAGGCACCGCCAUGGGCACCGCCAUGAGCACCGUGGGAAUGGGCAGAAGCUACUUUAACCCGCCAGGGUUUAGGAGUGGAUGCUGGGUUUUUUUGGUUGUUGUUUAUUUCUUUGUUUUUCCCGAGACAGAGUCUCGCUCUGUCACCCAGGCUGGAGUGCAGUGGUGCAAUCUCGGCUCACCGCAACCUCUGCCUCUUGGGUUCAAGUGAUUCUCCUGCCUCAGCCUCCCGAGUAGCUGGGACUACAGGCGUGCACCACCAUGCCUGGCUAAUUAUUUGUAAUUUUAGUAGAGACGGGGGCUUCAUCAUGUUGGCCAGGUUGGUCUCGAACUCCUGACCUCAAGUGAUCUGCCCACCUUGGCUUUCCAAAGUGCUGUGAUUACAGGUGUGAGCCACUACACCUGGCCAAGAUUAGAUACUGGAGGUUUGCUUUGUGGUGACCCGGCUGGACCCAGUGCUCCUGAGCUCCCCUCAGAGCAAAGACCAGGGGCAGAUUCCCUGCACCCUCAGUAGGCCUGGACGUGCAGGAGGCUUCAGACAGAAAAGCAGGGCUUUGCGAGGGCGGGCAGGGUCUUGGAUCAUGUCUGCAGGGGCAUUGGCCCUGAACAGACCACCACUGUCAAGGAUGUGGAAUCUCUGCAGCAGGGGGGCAGGGCCUGUAGACCUGCAGGCUGGAUCUGGGACACCUAACUGCCUGUUGUCAUUGACAGGCCGGCCCCUUUGUGGCAGCCCUACCCUCGGAUGGCAGUGCAGCUGUAUCCCUGCCCUGUCCCGGUGAGGCCAGCUACGAGGGGAAGAUGUGUUUCUCCCCAAAAGCGUCCUGUGGGUUACGUACUGAAUUGGUCCUCCCAGAAAGAGAUGCUGAAGCUCUAAUUCCCAGUGUCUAUGGCUGUGAUCUUCUUUGGAAAUAGGGUCUUUGUAGGUGUGACUAAGAUGUGGGGCUGGGCGCAGUGGCUCACUCCUCUAAUCCCAGCACUUUAGGAGGCUGAGGUGAGAGGAUCACCUGAGGUCAGGAGAGUGAGACCAGCCUGGCCAACAUGAUGAAACCCCAUCUCUACUAAAAAUACAAAAAAAUUAGCCGGGCACGGUGGCGCAUGCCUGUAAUCCCAGCUACUUGGGAGGCUGAGGCAGGAGAAUCCCUUGAACCCAGGAGGUGGAGGUUGCAGUGAACUAAGAUCAUGUCACUGCACUCCAGCCUGGGCAACAAGAGCGAAACUCCAUCUCAAAAAAAAAAAAAAAAAAAAA
ensembl:lncRNA